AUCAGUUGAAAAGUCCGAAAUAGGACGAAACGCGCGUCUUGGAU
rnacentral:hammerhead_ribozyme from 1 species